AUUGCCUUAGUAACGGCGAGUGAAGCGGCAAAAGCUCAAAUUUGAAAUCUGGCACCUUCGGUGUCCGAGUUGUAAUUUGAAGAAGGUAACUUUGGAGUUGGCUCUUGUCUAUGUUCCUUGGAACAGGACGUCACAGAGGGUGAGAAUCCCGUGCGAUGAGAUGCCCAAUUCUAUGUAAAGUGCUUUCGAAGAGUCGAGUUGUUUGGGAAUGCAGCUCUAAGUGGGUGGUAAAUUCCAUCUAAAGCUAAAUAUUGGCGAGAGACCGAUAGCGAACAAGUACAGUGAUGGAAAGAUGAAAAGAACUUUGAAAAGAGAGUGAAAAAGUACGUGAAAUUGUUGAAAGGGAAGGGCUUGAGAUCAGACUUGGUAUUUUGCGAUCCUUUCCUUCUUGGUUGGGUUCCUCGCAGCUUACUGGGCCAGCAUCGGUUUGGAUGGUAGGAUAAUGACUAAGGAAUGUGGCUCUACUUCGGUGGAGUGUUA
rnacentral:rRNA from 1 species